CGAACGGGUGAGUAAUGCGUGACCAACCUGCCCCAUGCUCCAGAAUAGCUCUUGGAAACGGGUGGUAAUGCUGGAUGCUCCAACUUGACGCAUGUCUUGUUGGGAAAGUGUUUAGUGGCAUGGGAUGGGGUCGCGUCCUAUCAGCUUGUAGGCGGGGUAAUGGCCCACCUAGGCUUCGACGGGUAGCCGGCCUGAGAGGGCGGACGGCCACAUUGGACUGAGAUACGGCCCAGACUCCUACGGGAGGCAGCAGAC
rnacentral:rRNA from 1 species